rnacentral:tRNA from 2 species
AAUCCGUCGAUUUCAAAAAUCAUGAGGGUUCAAGUCC